CCUCAUUUCGGGAUAGUAAGUCCGAUGACAAGAGAUUCUACAUAUUUUCUCCCACAAAGGCACUUAAGUUGAAGACACAUUCAAAAGAUGACCGUGUCUCUGUGGUCGAGGCCUUGGUCUUGGUCAGGAGUGUUUAUUCGCUCAGGUCGCUUAGUGGAACAAUAACUUUGGUGCAGAGUGACAUUUCUAUUUUGACUGCAAGGAAUCAAAAUCGGAUGCACCAAGAGGCUUUAAACGUGAGUCUUAUACAGGAUUGAGAAUAGAUUAUGCUUUCGGAGUUUUCAUGCUACUGAAAGCAACUGAAGCUACGCUAUGAGGAUCAUUUAAGCUUGUUUGGAUCUAGUAGAUACCAUUUUUGAGCGAGUUUUUCUGAAGAUGUGUCAAUGUUCAGCCUGGAGAAUGUUCAUGUAAAGGCCAGUACACAAGCAUGUCUACUUUGCCAUAUGGAUGGUGGAUUUACAGGACAAAUUUAUGCACCAGCUUUGAAUUCCAUGACGUUGCACGGACUAUGUGGAACCCACUGAUUCAUAGUGAUGUAUUUUCUUCGAGAAAGAGAGGAUUGUGCAAUCAGAAGUACAAUAUGUGAUCAUCAAGUGUAAGAGAUGGCAAGAAUAUGUGUCUCAGGUACCUCUUUUUUCAUUUGUAUGUCUAAGGUAAGAAUGAGAGAUUAGAUAAAAAAACAGGAAAGUGCUUACUUUGUUCAGUGGAUGCAUUCCGUCACUGUCCAUCAACAAGUUCAACUCCGGCGAUGGUUCAGCGAUGUGGGCCGAUGCACCACGUCAGGAACGUCAAUGGCCUGACAGGCCAUUUUCCAACUGGGCCUGUUGUAAAUGACGAGACCAUGAGGAUGCAGACAGUAAUGUUGCUCCUGAAAAUGAAUAUGUACUUUGCCGUGCCACUAAUCUCAGCAAAAUAGUAGAUCAUGAUGCCCCUCGUGCUACAGUCAAAUUGAAUCACAAAAAUUCUACAUAUUCAUAAA